GCCGGGUGCGGUGGCGCGUGCCUGUAGUCCCAGCUACUCAGGAGGCUGUGGCUGGAGGAUGCUUGAGCCCAGGAGUUCUGGGCUGCAGUGCGCUAUGCCGAUCGGGUGUCCGCACUAAGUUCGGCAUCAAUAUGGUGACCUCCCAGGAGCUGGGGACCACCAGGUUGCCUAAGGAGGGAUGAACCGGCCCAGGUUGGAAAUGGAGCAGGUCAAAACUCCCGUGCUGAGCAGUAGUGAGAUCGCGCCUGUGAAUAGCCACCGCACUCCAGCCUGGCAACAUAGCAAGAACCUGUCUCU
rnacentral:SRP_RNA from 1 species